AAAACACCAGCUCUGGUACGAUUAGCAAAGUUAAGCAACGUCGAGCCUAGUCAAUACCUAGAUGGGUGACCGCUUGGGAAUACCAGGUGCCGUAAG